rnacentral:misc_RNA from 1 species
AGGAGAAUAGUAGCUCUGACUCGGAC